rnacentral:rRNA from 1 species
GACGAACGCUGGCGGCGUGCUUAACACAUGCAAGUCGAACGGAAAGGCCCUGCUUUUGUGGGGUGCUCGAGUGGCGAACGGGUGAGUAACACGUGAGUAACCUGCCCUUGACUUUGGGAUAACUUUAGGAAACUGGGGCUAAUACCGGAUAGGAGCUCCUGCUGCAUGGUGUGGGUUGGAAAGUUUCGGCGGUUGGGGAUGGACUCGCGGCUUAUGAGCUUGUUGGUGGGGUAGUGGCUUACCAAGGCUUUGACGGGUAGCCGGCCUGAGAGGGUGACCGGCCACAUUGGGACUGAGAUACGGCCCAGACUCCUACGGGAGGCAGCAGUGGGGAAUAUUGCACAAUGGGCGGAAGCCUGAUGCAGCAACGCCGCGUGCGGGAUGACGGGCUUCGGGUUGUAAACCGCUUUCGCCUGUGACGAAGCGUGAGUGACGGUACUGGGUAAAGAAGCACCGGCUAACUACGUG